rnacentral:rRNA from 1 species
CAACCCGUCUCUGUUGCAAAAGAGUGGGAAGAUUUCCAAGUAGAGGUGACAAGCCUAUCGAACUUAGAGAUAGCUGGUUGUUCAGGAAAAGAGUCCAAGCUCUACCUUAAGUUUUUUGAUUUAUCUAAACAAACCCCUAGACUUAAGAGCUAUUCAAGUAAGGCACAGCUUACUUGAAACAGGAUACAACCUCCUACAUUGGGUAAACAAGAACAAUUUAAACAAAGUGGGCCUAAAAGCAGCCAUCUUACAAAAAGCGUUAAAGCUUAACUUACACACACUCAUAAUUCCGAUAGUUCUUAUUAACCCCUCAUUGUUACUGAACUAUUUUAUAAUCUUAUAAAAAUUAUUAUGCUAGAACUAGUAACAUGAAAUUACCUUUCUCCUUAAUGUAAGCUUCAACCAUAAUGGAUAAUCCACUGGUAUUUAACGUAACUGUCUUCAUUAUAGCAACAUACUACUAGAAAACCCUAUAACCACUAACGUUAACCUCACACUAGAGCAUUACAGGAAAGAUUAAAAGAAAGAGAAGGAACUCGGCAAACCCCCAGCCCCGCCUGUUUACCAAAAACAUCGCCUCUUGAUUAACAUAAGAGGUCCAGCCUGCCCAGUGACAUAGUUUAACGGCCGCGGUACCCUAACCGUGCGAAGGUAGCAUAAUCACUUGUUCUCUAAAUAGGGACUAGUAUCAAUGGCAUCACGAGGGCUACACUGUCUCCUCUCUCCAAUCAGUGAAACUGAUCUCCCCGUGAAGAAGCGGGGAUUUAAAUAUAAGACGAGAAGACCCCAUGGAGCUUUAAACUUAAUAUACACCUCUAUUUACCUACACCAACUAACCCUAAAGUCUGUGUAUUAGUUUUAGGUUGGGGGGACCGCGGAGUAUAACUCAACCUCCACGACAAACGGGCCAACGCCCUUAUCCAUGAAACACAAUUCUAAGAAUCAAUAACCUGAUGUUUUAUGACCCGACAAGUCGAUCAACGAACCAAGUUACCCUGGGGAUAACAGCGCAAUCUA